CAGAGAGAAAGGCCUGGCCGGGCUGCUGAGGACUCAAAGGACAGGGAGAUCCUCAUCAGCACGCCAGGAUCCGCUGCGUCUCCAUCAUGAUCGUUUUAGGAUCACGCGUGCUCUUCUUCCUGGCACUGCUGGCGCUCCUCGCCGGGCAGGAGAUGGGCGUCCCCCUGAUCAAGCGGACGUGUGCCAGCCAGAGAGGGAUCUGCCGCCGCUCUUGUCUGUCUCACGAGAUGCACCUCGGGGUUCACGGAUGCCCCCGUUACUACCGGUGCUGUGUGAUAAGAAUGUAGCAUAGACAGGAGAUGAAGAAAAGCCACCGGCCACAGGGACUGGAGAAAGCCCCGGUGUAGAAGAUAGCAGAGGCCUCUCCUUGAGCAGAUAUUGAAGAUAAAGCCGUGAAGUGCACUGACUGGGCCACAGAACAAGCAUGACGAUGAAAACUGGGAAGCUUCUGGCUCUCAGAUGCCUCCUUAUUCUAAGAGACCAACUCUGGAAAUAUUCGGCUAGACCAUUAUUGCUCUACUUAAGCACUGCAGAUAUAAUCUACCCUGUUUCUCUGAAAAUAAGACAGGGUCUUAUAUUAAAUUUUGCUCCAAA